rnacentral:rRNA from 1 species
GUCCACGCCGUAAACGAUGGGCACUAGAUGCCGGUGGGAACGACCCCUUCGGUGUCGCAGCUAACGCAUUAAGUGCCCCGCCUGGGGAGUACGGCCGCAAGGCUGAAACUCAAAGGAAUUGACGGGGGCCCCGCACAAGCGGUGGAGCAUGUGGUUUAAUUCGAAGCAACGCGAAGAACCUUACCUGGGCUUGACAUGCUAGGGAAAGCCUUGUGAAAGCAGGGCCCUCCUUCGGGACUCUAGCACAGGUGCUGCAUGGCUGUCGU